rnacentral:rRNA from 1 species
CGCCUCUCGUUUACUUCAUGAGAGGUCCAGCCUGCCCAGUGACCUAGUUUAACGGCCGCGGUAUCCUGACCGUGCGAAGGUAGCGUAAUCACUUGUCUUUUAAAUAGAGACUAGUAUGAAUGGCAUCACGAGGACUAUACUGUCUCCUUUUUCUAAUCAGUGAAACUAAUCUUCCCGUGAAGAAACGGGAAUUUUAUUAUAAGACGAGAAGACCCUAUGGAGCUUUAAACAAAAUGAUAUCUGCUAACCCCUUCUUCUUCCCCCGGGCAAUAACCACCACCUUAGCAUUAUACUUAUUAGUUUUCGGUUGGGGCGACCACGGAGUAAAAAAAAACCUCCACGUUGGACGGGCUAUGCCCUUAGCAAAAAGCCACGACUUAAAGCACCAAUAAACUGACAUUAAUUGACCCAAUAUAUUGAUCAACGAACCAAGUUACCCUAGGGAUAACAGCGCAAUCCACUUCAAGAGCUCUUAUCGAAAAGUGGGCUUACGACCUCGAUGUUGGAUCAGGGUAUCCUAGUGGUGCAGCCGCUACUAAAGGUUCGUUUGUUCAACGAUUAAAACCCU